GGUCCAGAUAAAAGCCUAGAUGCACAAAAAGGCAAGGCUUUUUGGUGAUAUCUGCAAGUGGUUCCUGAUAAUGUAGUGCAUCUUAAGAAAAAGAAAGCUGUACAACCUGCUAUAAAGGACUAACUUUUGCAUAUUAAUGUGCAGUGGCUUAGCUGUAUCCCCUACCCAGCCAGCCGUGCUUGGUUAGACCUGCAGAGUUUUUCCCUGUUUCUGCUUGUUGACACUAGAAAUGGAGGGAAAAGUCUGCCCGUGUUCCUCCCACAUCAUGCAGUGACUAUUCAAGGGAGCCUGGAGUUUUGCAAGAAUCCAGAAAACAAAUAA
rnacentral:lncRNA from 1 species